rnacentral:rRNA from 1 species
UACGUAGGGUGCAAGCGUUGUCCGGAAUUAUUGGGCGUAAAGAGCUUGUAGGCGGUCUGUCGCGUCUGCUGUGAAAAUCCGGGGCUCAACCCCGGACUUGCAGUGGGUACGGGCAGACUAGAGUGUGGUAGGGGAGACUGGAAUUCCUGGUGUAGCGGUGAAAUGCGCAGAUAUCAGGAGGAACACCGAGGGCGAAGGCAGGUCUCUGGGCCACUACUGACGCUGAGAAGCGAAAGCAUGGGGAGCGAACAGG